UACGUAGGGUGCAAGCGUUGUCCGGAAUUAUUGGGCGUAAAGAGCUCGUAGGCGGUCUGUCGCGUCGGCUGUGAAAACUCGGGGCUCAACUCCGAGCCUGCAGUCGAUACGGGCAGACUAGAGUGCGGUAGGGGAGACUGGAAUUCCUGGUGUAGCGGUGAAAUGCGCAGAUAUCAGGAGGAACACCGGUGGCGAAGGCGGGUCUCUGGGCCGUAACUGACGCUGAGGAGCGAAAGCAUGGGGAGCGAACAGG
rnacentral:rRNA from 1 species